rnacentral:rRNA from 1 species
GGGUUGUGAGGUUAAGCGACUAAGCGUACACGGUGGAUGCCCUGGCAGUCAGAGGCGAUGAAGGACGUGCUAAUCUGCGAUAAGCGCCGGUAAGGUGAUAUGAACCGUUAUAACCGGCGAUUUCCGAAUGGGGAAACCCAGUGUGACUCGUCACACUAUCAUUAACUGAAUCCAUAGGUUAAUGAGGCGAACCGGGGGAACUGAAACAUCUAAGUACCCCGAGGAAAAGAAAUCAACCGAGAUUCCCCCAGUAGCGGCGAGCGAACGGGGAGGAGCCCAGAGCCUGAAUCAGCAUGUGUGUUAGUGGAAGCGUCUGGAAAGGCGCGCGAUACAGGGUGACAGCCCCGUACACAAAAGCGCAUGUGUUGUGAGCUCGAUGAGUAGGGCGGGACACGUGGUAUCCUGUCUGAAUAUGGGGGGACCAUCCUCCAAGGCUAAAUACUCCUGACUGACCGAUAGUGAACCAGUACCGUGAGGGAAAGGCGAAAAGAACCCCGGCGAGGGGAGUGAAAAAGAACCUGAAACCGUGUACGUACAAGCAGUGGGAGCCCCACCACUAAGCCAGUGGUGAACUCCACAUACGCAUCCUUUGCUGAAGGUGCGGUUAACGGAGCGCAAGCGACGUUCAACCUCAAAAGAAGCAGAGGGG